GACGAACGCUGGCGGCGUGCUUAACACAUGCAAGUCGAACGGAAAGGCCCUGCUUGCAGGGUACUCGAGUGGCGAACGGGUGAGUAACACGUGGGUGAUCUGCCCUGCACUUCGGGAUAAGCCUGGGAAACUGGGUCUAAUACCGGAUAGGAGCCAUUUUUAGUGUGAUGGUUGGAAAGUUUUUUCGGUGUAGGAUGAGCUCGCGGCCUAUCAGCUUGUUGGUGGGGUAAUGGCCUACCAAGGCGGCGACGGGUAGCCGGCCUGAGAGGGUGGACGGCCACAUUGGGACUGAGAUACGGCCCAGACUCCUACGGGAGGCAGCAGUGGGGAAUAUUGAACAAUGGGCGCAGGCCUGAUGCAGCGACGCCGCGUGGGGGAUGACGGCCUUCGGUUUGUAAACGCCUUUCGCUAGGGACGAAGCUUUUUGUGACGGUACCUAGAGAAGAAGCACCGGCUAACUACGUG
rnacentral:rRNA from 1 species